GACACCUUAUCAUGAACCUGUUGUUCAACCUGUUCCUGCACCUGCACCUGUUGUUGUCCCCGCAGCUGCACCUGCACCUGCUAAUCAUGCAGCUGCUGGUGUUCAUGGUUCAGUUCCACAAGCUGGACCAUCUUCUGGUGAAAUGGCUGCAAAUAUGAAGACUAUUGUUGAUAGGCAUUGCCAAUUGCUUAUUGAUGAGUUGGCAUUGCAGCAGUUGAGUGGCCCUCCAGCUGGUGGAGUUGUGUCUUUGUUCUCCAACAGAAUGUCAUUGCUUGCUGCAGAAUUUUUUUCUUUUACUUCUUUAGCACAUCAGAAUUCUGGAGCUCCAGCUGGUACCUCUGGAACUCAUAAUUAUGAACCUGCAGCUGCUGCUGCUGGUAUAUUUCAAAUAUAUAUUGUUAUGUUCAUAUAUGCUUAACUUUUUUAAGCUACAGGUGAUAGCUCAGGAACUCACAAUUCUGAACCUACAGAACCUACAACUGCUCAAACUGAGAAUGAUGAUUUUCAAAAUGAUGAAAAAACUCAUAAACAUGGAGAAAAGAUUACUUUCGAUUUUGACACUCCACUUGGUACACCUUCUCUUCAUGACCUUUCAACUUCUUCUGGAGGUAUGUCUUGUAACUUUCGACAAACAUUUAACUCAUAAUUUUUAUCAUAAUUUAUUUUAUUUUGCUAAUCUCUGAUAAUCUGAUAAUGAUACAACUGACUAUAAUCUAUAUUUUAUUUAUUUAAUCUAUCAAUAGAUCAUGCACAAGGUAUAAACUGAGUGAUAGUAUAUUUUCUUAUUUAUUUUAUUAAUUUUUUAUUGUUUCCUAUUGAUAUAUGUUUUCUUCUACUUAAAGGUGCAACAAAUGAUGAUAUAUCUCAUAUUAACAAAGAAAAAACACAAGAAUUAAUUAGACCAUUGGAUAAGGAUAUUACUGCAUCAGAGUUGAAUAUAGCUUGAAUGAUCAUCAUGACAAAGAUAUGAGCACUUCGAAGUUUGCAGAGGAUGAUCAGCAUAGGUUACCAAUACCAAACAAAUACUUUGGAUUAUGACUGAAUGAUCAUUUUUAUGGAAGAUCUUUGUCACCAAAUGCUAAUUCAAAUCUUAACAACAAGUUUCCAAGUUUUGAUCUGUUUGAAGAUCUGCAUGAUGACAAGUCUGAAGAACAUUAAUGAUUCUUUAUUGAAGAGUCUGCAGAGAGUAUUUAGGAAAUGUGCAGAUAUGAUUAAUGAAGAGGGAACAGAAAACAUUCAGAAUGGCAUAUUCAAAAUGGUUAGUGAAGAGGGAAAUCAAAACAUUCAGAAUGAUAGAUUCAAAACACUUAGUGAAGAGGGAAAAGAAAGGUUCAAAAUGAUUGAAG